rnacentral:rRNA from 1 species
GACGAACGCUGGCGGCGUGCUUAACACAUGCAAGUCGAACGGAGAUUUUAGCAAUAGAAUCUUAGUGGCGAACGGGUGAGUAACGCGUAGGCAAUCUGCCUUCUAGAUGGGGACAACAUCCCGAAAGGGGUGCUAAUACCGAAUGUUGUACCGUUUCCGCUUGGAGAUGAUACUAAAGGUGGCCUCUGAAUAUGCUACCGCGAGAAGAUGAGUCUGGGUCUGUUUAGCUAGUUGGAGGGGUAACGGCCCACCAAGGCUUCGAUCAGUAGCCGGUCUGAGAGGAUGAACGGCCACACUGGGACUGAGACACGGCCCAGACUCCUACGGGAGGCAGCAGUGGGGAAUCUUCCGCAAUGGACGAAAGUCUGACGGAGCAACGCCGCGUGAGUGAAGAAGGUUUUCGGAUCGUAAAGCUCUUUCGUUAGGGACGAACGUGCUCUUUGUGAAUAAUGAGGAGUAAUGACGGUACCUAAAUAAGAAGCCACGGCUAACUACGUGCCAGCAGCCGCAGUAA